UUUUCCUGAUUCUUAAGUUCAUUGUAUUCAUUGGUCUCUCAUAUUUCUUGGGCCAUGAUGAUAAUUAAAUUGCUGUCUGUGGACUAUCAUCCAUGGAAGCCAGGGUUAAAUAUUAAUAGAGAUAGGAAAUGCAUGUAUAUAUUCACUAAAAUCGUCACCCACAUAAAUACAGAGAAUAAUUUUGUCUAGAAGGAUAAUUUUUAAACACCUGAAUUUUGAGAGCUUCCCUGAUGGAAAGAGACACUUGGAUUUGAUUGGAAGUUUUCUUAGCUUUUUUCCCCUCACAUCAGAGUGUGGUGGGGGUCUUCAGGGCUCUGCUGGAACAUCUACUUCUCCCAACUAACAGAACCCAAAUCCUCAUGGCCGGAUCUACGAGUGGAGAAUCACCAUCCCAGAGGGAAGGUGGAUCACCCUAAUGUUUAACAACCUGAGGCCGGCCACACAUCCAUCCUGCAACAACGAGCAUGUGAUAUGUGUGGUGGGUCUCUUCCAAACACUUCUGAAGGAAACUUUACUUCUCCUGGCUAUGAUGGAGUCAGGAAUUACUCGACAAACCUAAACUGUGAAUGAACUCUCAGCAAUCCAAAUCAGGAAAAAUCAUCUAUUUAUAAUCAUUUUGAAGAUUUUUUUACCUAGAAAGUCACCAAGACUGUCAAUUUGAUGUCCUCGAGUUUCGAGUGGAACAUUGGUGGCGACAACAGAGACUGAAGUGCAGCCGGAGCAGUAAGAUGGCGGACUAGCAGCUGGCUCGGUACGGUGCUAUAGCGGGAGGAGAAGGUGGUUUCCGCUGACGCAAGCUGGAGGCCGGAGCCUGUGGCACAGCGGCUCGCCUCGCUGAGGCUGGUGGCUGCAACAGAGACGGCACAGCUGCCGGAGUGGUAGAAAGGCGGCCACGGCUUUUCUGACUUUGUUGGCUCAGCUGCUCCGUGCCAGAAGGAGGAACAACCUGCCACACGCUGGAAAGUGAAGGCUGGAGCCUGGAGCCUGGGACGUGGCGGCUGGCUUCGCUGCGGUGGCUGGUGCUUUGGAGGAGUAGGAAGCCAUCAUUCUUCAGAAGGCAAUGACGGAACAGUACCAGCAGCAACUGAAGGACCAGCAGAAGGUUAAAAGAAAAAGAGAUUUUAUGUGUUAC